GAUGAACGCUGGCGGCGUGCCUAACACAUGCAAGUCGAGCGAAGCGCUUAAAUUAGAUUUCUUCGGAAUCACGAUUUUUGUGACUGAGCGGCGGACGGGUGAGUAACGCGUGGGUAACCUGCCUCAUACAGGGGGAUAACAGUUAGAAAUGACUGCUAAUACCGCAUAAGACCCCAGCUUCGCAUGAAGCGGUGGUAAAAACUCCGGUGGUAUGAGAUGGACCCGCGUCUGAUUAGCUAGUUGGUAAGGUAACGGCUUACCAAGGCGACGAUCAGUAGCCGACCUGAGAGGGUGACCGGCCACAUUGGGACUGAAACACGGCCCAGACUCCUACGGGAGGCAGCAGUGGGGAAUAUUGCACAAUGGGGGAAACCCUGAUGCAGCGACGCCGCGUGAAGGAUGAAGUAUUUCGGUAUGUAAACUUCUAUCAGCAGGGAAGAAAGUGACGGUACCUGACUAAGAAGCCCCGGCUAACUACGUG
rnacentral:rRNA from 1 species